GAUUAACGCUGGCGGCGUGCCUAACACAUGCAAGUCGAACGAUGAAACUUAACUGAUUUCUUCGGAAUGAUUAUAAGUGGAUUAGUGGCGGACGGGUGAGUAACGCGUGAGUAACCUGCCUUGGAGAAGGGGAUAGCCUUUGGAAACGAAGAAUAAUACCCUAUGAUAUGAUCAUAUCCCAUGAUAUUAUCAUCAAAGAUUUAUCGCUCUAAGAUGGACUUGCGUCUGAUUAGUUAGUUGGUGAGGUAACCGCUCACCAAGGCAGCGAUCAGUAGCCGGCUUGAGAGAGGGUACGGCCCCAUUGGGACGGAGACACGGCCCAGACUCCUACGGGAGGCAGCAGUGGGGAAUUUGGCACAAUGGGGGAAACCCGGAUGCAGCGACGCCGCGUGAUUUAGAAGGACUUCGGGUUGUAAAAAUCUUUUGUAUGGGAAGAAAAUGACAGUACCAUACGAAUAAGGACCGGCUAAUUACGUG
rnacentral:rRNA from 1 species